rnacentral:rRNA from 1 species
AUGAACGCUAGCGGCAGGCCUAAUACAUGCAAGUCGAGCGGCAAGUCGAGGAGUAAUCUAAGACCUAGAGCGGCGCACGGGUGCGUAACGCGUAUGCAACCUACCUUAUACUGGGGGAUAGCCCGGAGAAAUCUGGAUUAAUACCCCAUGGCACAUAUUGAUGGCAUCUGAGAUAUGUUAAAGAUUUAUUGGUAUAAGAUGGGCAUGCGUCUGAUUAGCUAGUUGGCGGUGUAACGGACCACCAAGGCGACGAUCAGUAGGGGUUCUGAGAGGAAGGUCCCCCACACUGGCACUGAGAUACGGGCCAGACUCCUACGGGAGGCAGCAGUAGGGAAUAUUGGGCAAUGGUCGGAAGACUGACCCAGCCAUGCCGCGUGCAGGAAGACGGCCCUCUGGGUUGUAAACUGCUUUUUAUCUGGGAAGAAAAAGGCCAUGCGUGGCAAAUUGCCGGUACCAGAUGAAUAAGCACCGGCUAACUCCGUG